AGGCAGGCAGGAGCUGGGGGUACUCGCACACAUCUGGCUCCUGUUUGGUUCCCUCCCUCCUUCCAAACCCCUGGAUUAAAAAUCCUCGGCGGGGGAAGGAGGGGGCGGAGACGGGCAGCUCUGGGGACAGACUACCACCUACCGUGGGGCGAGAGCGGGGAGCGGGGGCGAGGGGGGGCACAGGUGCCUUUGCCAAGGCUCUGAAUGGCAGAGGCUUUUCAGUUUCACGUGAAGCUUGUGAUCUUUUUUUGUCUUGGUAGGAGAACGGGCAUUUUUAAGAAAUCAUUAUUUGUACAUAAAGAAAUAAAAGGUAAAUCCAACAGCCCAGAGACGCUUGCAUUUCAGUAGAAAUGGACUUUCUCGGGUUAAAAGGUGCUGAAAGAGAUCCCACUCAAUCACUCCUGAAUUUCCAGAAACAUAGGCAUUUGUCCAUGUCAAAAUUAUCCACUCAACGGGCAUCUCUUUGGCUCCACCCUCCAGUUUCAGAGUGUCCAAAUGGCAAAAGGCAGAAAUUCUUGUGUGAGGCCGUGAUGUUCAGCGCUACCAGGAGGGGAAAGCCAAGAAAAUCAAAGGAGAGCUGAUCCGGAAUCCUGAAAUUGCUGAGCUCCUGAGUUAACUAGACUUGGAACUCACCUACUUCUGGACUUCAUGUUAAAUGAAAUAGUAAAUCUUUAUUGUUUAAGCCACUUUUUGCCAGUGUCUUGUAAUUUGAAGCCCAACUAAGUGAUUCAUACCGUAGUCACUCGUAUGCACAGCACUCCCUAUUUUAAGUAAAUCCCAGCAUUUCAACAGCAGGUGCCUGCUUGGUUUGCCACCUUGCAGAAGAGGACUAACCAACAGAGUUGACUUCUAGACACAUCUCUUUGAGAUGUCAUCUGUUGACAUUUGUAAGCUGAGAAAUUUUUGUUGCUAUUCACAUGACAACUAAACAUUGGACAAUCUACAGAAACAUAAAAAUGUCUAGACUCUGUGCUUACAAGCACAUAUGUCAUAUGCUUGUAACAUGUAGUGGUUAAAACUCAAUGGUUUUGUUCUGUUGUUAUUUGCAAUUAUUAAUGUAAGCCCUGUUCAUUGUACAAACGUUUAAAGUGCAAAAAGUAUAGUGAAGAAAAUAAUAUCCAGUAAUUCCACCACUCAGAUAUAACCCGUUAAUAUUUUAAAUGUGUAUCUUUAUAGACUUUUUCUGUAUAUACAGUAAAUAUUCUAAUAAAAUAUUAUUUAGUGUAUAUUUUAAUAAAACU
rnacentral:lncRNA from 1 species